rnacentral:rRNA from 1 species
GACGAACGCUGGCGGCGUGCUUAACACAUGCAAGUCGAACGGAAAGGCCCUGCUUUUGUGGGGUGCUCGAGUGGCGAACGGGUGAGUAACACGUGAGUAACCUGCCCUUGACUUUGGGAUAACUUCAGGAAACUGGGGCUAAUACCGGAUAGGAGCUCCUGCUGCAUGGUGGGGGUUGGAAAGUUUCGGCGGUUGGGGAUGGACUCGCGGCUUAUCAGCUUGUUGGUGGGGUAGUGGCUUACCAAGGCUUUGACGGGUAGCCGGCCUGAGAGGGUGACCGGGGAGAAGGGGAAAGAGAUACGGAGCGGACGGAAGCGGGAGGCAGCAGCGGGGAGUGGGGGAGGAUGGGCGGGAGUGUGAAACAAGCACGCGGGGGGGGGGAUGGAGGACUGCGGGUAAGAAACAGAGAAGGACUGUGAAAACGAGUGAGAGAAGGGACGGGAUAAAGAAGCAAGGGAGAACUAGGUC